rnacentral:rRNA from 1 species
GACGAACGCUGGCGGCGUGCUUAACACAUGCAAGUCGAACGGAAAGGCCCUGCUUUUGUGGGGUGCUCGAUUGGCGAACGGGUGAGUAACACGUGAGUAACCUGCCCUUGACUUUGGGAUAACUUCAGGAAACUGGGGCUAAUACCGGAUAUGAUCUCCUGCUGCAUGGUGGGGGUUGGAAAGUUUCGGCGGUUGGGGAUGGACUCGCGGCUUAUCAGCUUGUUGGUGGGGUAGUGGCUUACCAAGGCUUUGACGGGUAGCCGGCCUGAGAGGGUGACCGGCCACAUUGGGACUGAGAUACGGACCAGACUCCUACGGGAGGCAGCAGUGGGGAAUCUUGCACAAUGGGCGGAAGCCUGAUGCAGCAACGCUGCGUGCGGGAUGACGGCCUUCGGGUUGUAAACCGCUUUCGCAUGUGACGAAGCGUGAGUGACGGUAAUGGGUAAAGAAGCACCGGCUAACUACGUG